GGAGCUUACUUCACUGUAGAAUGAACAUAAGAAUGCCUAAGAAAUCUCACAUUCUGAAGAUGUGACUUAGAAGCUACAAAAGCAUCAAGAGAACAUCAACAUUAUCAAAAACAACACGAAAAAAAGCUGCAAGAUUUUCUAGAAGAAAUCGAAGGGGUGAAAAAAUGAUGCAGGGAGAAUGAAGGAGAAAACUAGAUGAAAUGAAUAUUACCUGCAAAACUAGCCACUCCAAAAGUCUGGAUUCAGUUGGUGACUGAACAAAUUCAGUUCCUAAACAUUUCAAAUCUAAUAUAGGCUCAGAGUUCUCUUAUAUGGGUCCUCUAGUCCAGUAACCCUUCUAGAAAUGUUACUUUCCUUGAUCUCUUUUUCGGCACCAUUCUUUAUUAAUCCGCUUCUUUUUUCUCUAGUUACUGCAUCUCAUUUUUAUUAUAAAGACCAAUCAUUUGACACCUAAAAAAUGUUGCAGUCUGUCCUUGGUAUGUAUCUGUUUAUGUCCUCUCUGGGAAAUCUCAUCUAAACUCAAACAUUUCAAAAGCCAACUAAUCUGGUGACUAAAUCUUAAUUAAUUUGAGCCUAUCCUCAAAGUUAAUAUGGCCAAAAUUAAAUUAUAUUCUUAUUCUGGUUUCGAAACUUGUUUCCCCAUAUUUGUACCAUCCCAUCUCUAUAUGCCUGAUCCAGAAAUCAGUCAUUUGGACUCUGUUAGCUCCCACAACAAAUCCUCCUUCAUAUUCUACCUCUAACUGGCAGUCUAAUCUGUCUAUUCCUUUGUAUCUUCAUUGUCUCUGAUUUAGGUUAGUCCUUAGCCUCUCUCUCAUGUGGACUACUGAUCUACUAGACAGUGAGCUCUUGAACACUAAUUUUACCCUUUUAUCUUUAUGACAGAAAGAUUCUUUUAAGACAAAUCAGAUCAACUCACCAGCCCCAACCUUAAAUAAUCAAAACUAUAUAUCCUCCCACCAUCCCAGCUUGUAUUUCACAGGCUCAGUUCAAAUACCUCUGCCACUGAAUUUGGAUUUUGUUUUAUCUUUCCAGUAUUACUGCCUUUGAACCUGCCUCUGUGUUUCCAUCACUGUUGGUUACACUUUAAUCAAAUCAAGCUUCUAAAAGUUC
rnacentral:lncRNA from 1 species